UGGUUUGAUUCUGGCUCAGGAUGAACGCUGGCGGCAUGCCUAAUACAUGCAAGUCGAACGGAGUGAAGCCUUCGGGUUUCAUUCAGUGGCGAACGGGUGAGUAAUACGCAGGGAACCUGGCCAUGGCAGGGGGAUACACUCUGGAAACGGAGCAUAAGACCCCAUAGGCAGUAAGGCGGCAUCGCCUUACUGUUAAAGAAAGCUGAAAGGCUUUGGCGAUGGAUGGACCUGCGGUGCAUUAGCUUGUUGGUGAGGCAACAGCUUACCAAGGCGAUGAUGCAUAGCCGGCCUGAGAGGGCGGACGGCCACACUGGGACUGAGACACGGCCCAGACUCCUGCGGGAGGCAGCAGUAGGGAAUUUUCGUCAAUGGGCGCAAGCCUGAACGAGCAAUGCCGCGUGAGUGAGGAAGGUCUUCGGACUGUAAAGCUCUGUUGCCGGGGAAAAAGGGGAAAUGCAGGAAAUGGCAUUUCAUGGAUGGUACCCGGCCAGAAAGCCACGGCUAACUACGUGCCAGCAGCCGCGGUAAUACGUAGGUGGCGAGCGUUAUCCGGAAUGAUUGGGCGUAAAGGGUGCGCAGGCGGUCUGUUAAGUCUGAAGGCAAAGGGAUGAGCUCAACUCAUUUAUGAUUCAGAAACUGGCAGACUUGAGGACAGGAGAGGGCGGUGGAACUCCAUGUGUAGCGGUAAAAUGCGCAGAGAUAUGGAAGAACACCAGUGGCGAAGGCGGCCGCCUGGCCUGUGACUGACGCUGAGGCACGAAAGCGUGGGGAGCAAAUAGGAUUAGAUACCCUAGUAGUCCACGCCGUAAACGAUGAGGAGCAGGUGUUGGGAGUGAAAUCUCAGUGCCGAAGCCAACGCAGUGACUCCUCCGCCUGGGGAGUAUGCACGCAAGUGUGAAACUCAAAGGAAUUGACGGGGGCCCGCACAAGCGGUGGAGUAUGUGGUUUAACUCGAAGCAACGCGAAGAACCUUACCAGGUUUUGACAUCGGAUGCGAAGGCGCAGAGAUGCGCUGGAGGCUAUCAUCCAGACAGGUGGUGCAUGGUUGUCGUCAGCUCGUGUCGUGAGAUGUUCAGUUAAGUCUGGCAACGAGCGCAACCCCCGUGGUAUGUUACUAACGCAUUUGGGCGAGGACUCAUAUCAGACUGCCGGUGACAAACCGGAGGAAGGCGGGGAUGACGUCAAAUCAUCAUGCCCCUUAUGACCUGGGCUACACACGUACUACAAUGGCGUCUACAGAGGGAAGCGACCCUGAGAAGGGAAGCGAAACCGGAAAAGGGCGUCCCGGUUCGGAUUGAAGUCUGCAACCCGACUUCAUGAAGAUGGAAUCGCUAGUAAUCGCGGAUCAGCAUGCCGCGGUGAAUACGUUCCCGGGCCUUGUACACACCGCCCGUCAAACCAUGGAAGCCGGCAACGCCCGAAGCCGGUGGCAUAACCUUUUAGGAGUGAGCCGUCGAAGGCGGGGCCGAUGACUGGGGUUAAGUCGUAACAAGGUAUCC
rnacentral:rRNA from 1 species